rnacentral:rRNA from 1 species
GAUGAACGCUAGCUGGAGGCUUAAUACAUGCAAGUCGAGCGGGAUUGGUAGCAAUACCAUGAGAGCGGCGCACGGGUGAGUAACGCGUACACGACCUACCCCUGACAGGGGGAUAGCCCUGGGAAACUGGGAUUAAUACCGCAUAUUAUUCUGAUUAAUAAAGGAUUGGAAUGAAAGUUCAGGCGGUCAGAGAUGGGUGU